rnacentral:lncRNA from 1 species
AUUUCACAACAAUACUAUAAUCAAUUGCAAAAAUGUCAAUUUUUAAAUAAUAAGGCAGUCAUUUGCACAUGAAUUUUACAAUGUCUAAAUUUUCAAAACAGUAGAAAGAAAUAUCACAAUUUUACUAAAAGCAGAAAUAUCACAUUUAUUUCUAACAAUAGACAAGAAAAAUAAAUAAAUUUAUUUUUCUAAUUUACAGCAUUCAAAAUUUCUAACAUAGAUAAAAUAUCAUAAUUUUUAUUAAAAAGAUUAUUUUUCAAGAUAAU